rnacentral:rRNA from 1 species
GACGACGGCUGGCGGCGUGGAUUAGGCAUGCAAGUCGAACGGUAUCAUCCUUUCGGGGGUGAGAGAGUGGCGAACUGGUGAGUAACACGUAGGUUAUCUACCCUCAAGACGGGGACAACCCAGGGAAACUUGGGCUAAUACCGGAUGUGAGCAACUUUUAGUUGUUUGAAAGGUGGCGUAAGCUGUCGCUUGGGGAUGAGCCUGCGUCCUAUUAGUUAGUUGGUGAGGUAACGGCUCACCUAGGCAAUGAUAGGUAGGCGGCCUUAACGGGUGGUCGCCCACACUGGGAUUGAGAUACGGCCCAGACUCCUACGGGAGGCAGCAGUCGAGAAUAGUCUACAAUGGUCGGAAGACUGAUAGUGCGACGCCGCGUGAACGAUGAAUCCCUUCGGGGUGUAAAGUUCUUUUAUAUGUGAGCAGUGCUUCUUAUAUUAACAGUAUGGGGAGAGAGAUAUUAGCAUAUGAAUAAGCAACGGCUAACUCCGUG